rnacentral:rRNA from 1 species
UACGUAGGGUGCAAGCGUUGUCCGGAAUUAUUGGGCGUAAAGAGCUCGUAGGCGGUCUGUCGCGUCGAAUGUGAAAACCCGGGGCUCAACCCCGGGCCUGCAUUCGAUACGGGCAUCACUUGAGUUCGGCAGGGGAGACUGGAAUUCCUGGUGUAGCGGUGAAAUGCGCAGAUAUCAGGAGGAACACCGGUGGCGAAGGCGGGUCUCUGGGCCGAUACUGACGCUGAGGAGCGAAAGCAUGGGUAGCGAACAGG